UCAGGUCCCCAGCAUACGCGUCAGAGUCAGUCCAGGGAUCUCUGACCUCAGCACUACCAGAAGAUGUAUGUGAGCAGAGACAAGCAUGUCCUGGGGGUCUCAGAGCUGGGGAAUUCCAAGUUCAAUAAAACACCCUGUCUCAAAAAACAGAGAUUGAGAAGCAAACAGCUGACAUUACCUCUGACAUCUAUGCACACCUGUGCACACACAUGUGCCACACAUGCGCACACACACACACAGCUUUAUUUAUGUAUUUAUUUAUAGUAACUUAUUAGUGGUUAUAAUGUGUGGACUUUGUAGAUGACACAGUUAUGUCACAGUAUCCAAAGGUUGGACACACCAAUAGGGAUAAGGUCUUGUCCUCUGUUCUCCCAGGUUUCCCUGCGUGAUGUCCUCCUGGAGUUCUUGCUGGGGCCUUAGACAAGAGAUACUGAACCAUCUCUGAGGCUGGGAUAGGUAGACACUGAUGAUAGCAAAGUGAGCCCAAACAAAUUUUAGAGCCGACUCCCCAACCCCCCCCCCCCCCCCCAAAGCUGCAGAUCCCUGGUACCUGCCACUCUCAUCCUGUUGAAGUGAAGAAUGGGUUGCGGUCAGGUCAGCGUUAACCUGUGCAGAAAAACAAAACAAAACAAAACAAAAAAACAAAACAAUUGCAAACUGACCUCUAGGGUCUGAAGAUGAGAGUGGGUGCUGGAACUAUUCCUUUCACCUGCCCUGUGAGCAGAGGAGCCACUUUUGUCCCUUCUACCUCAACAUCUCCAGGGAUCCUGUAUUUCACCUAAUGACUCAGAGAUUAGCAAGUAGAUUUUCAUAGUUGAUUUACCUUCAUUCCCUUUGUUAUCAUGGCAGCAUUCUAGGCUCCACCCAACAGUUACCUAGCAACAGCCAGGUCGACCUGCUUGCUUUUCUUUGCUCUCUCUGACCCCUUUCUCACUCUCUCUCCUUCCCUCCCCCCUCUCUCCUUGCAUUCAUCUUCCCCCUCCUGCCCCCCUCCCCCAUUCUUUUCCUGCCUACACUCUGACUCUAGUCCCUUCUCAACCUUGCUUCCCAAGCCCCAGAUAAACUCUAUUCUAUACUAGCAGGCCUGGCAGGUACCUCAGAGGGGAGGGAUGCCUCAGCACGGGCGCGCUACAAAACAUACUGUUUUUAUGAAACCUAUCACCCUUCUCCGCUCUCUCUCUUCCUGCCUCCCUCCCUUUCUCCAUCUCUUCCCCACUCCUGCCUGACUGUCCAGGGCUGUCAGCCACUCAAAGCACCAGUAAAAGGAAGUGACUUUUGUUGCUGUGUGGAGAUAGUAGUAGGCAGGACAGGUGUUCCGCAGGCAAGCUUCUGCCAGGUGCCUUAUGAAUAUCUCUUUUCAUGGAUCUGUAAGGACAACUCACUAUGGUUAAGCCCAAGGCCAUUCAGCAGGGAGAAGGAAGGGGACAGAUUUGGACACACAUCUGCUGCUACAGGGUCCCUGGGUCCCCUCAGGGUUUGACUUCUUGUACUUUUUGUUUCAGAGGAGAGCUGAAACCAGGAUUUUCUCCCUUCUUGUGUCCCAGGCAGGGUCUGGGUCAUUCUUUUAAGCCCUCAGUGUUGUCCUGAGGAGCUGAGCAGUUGCCAGAAAUGUGCCAGCUUUGAGUCUCCUGGAGGCCAGCUGGUGCUUAGGAGAGGAGGGGGGGGGGGCUGGGUGGAUGGAGCCUGGGGCAAGUGACCUUUCAUUCCCUUCCUCCCCUCCCCCCUAAUUUUUUUCUCCCAAGAAUCUAUCUUAACAGACAUCCUUUCAACAGUCUCCAGUGUCCAACUGCCAAGGACUCGGUGUUAGGCAUUAAAUGUAGGACAUUGAACAUGCCGGACAUGCUUUGAUACAGAGCUCCAUCUCCCACCACUCCAGUCUUCAUCGAGGCAUUUCAUAAAGGCCCUACAGGAUCCAGAAUGUCUGUUUGUUUCCUGGAGCUCUGUGACUUUCAGCUCAACCAUGACCUGCCCAGAGGCAAGGUAGCCAGUGAAAGGAGCCACUCUCCCUAGGCUGGGGACAGACUGUCAAAGAGGGAGGGUCAGAGCAUCUCAUCAGCAUCUCUAGUGACGUGAAAACUUCAUUGGCUAAGUUCCAACUCUUGGACCUUCCCUGUCUUCACGAAGUCCCCUCCAUCAACACCCUUGAUCUGCUUUGUGGAUGGUCUUGAGCUUUGGGCCACCUUCUCUGCGACUGCAGCCUCUCUGUCUGGCCGUUACGCUCGUAUCUGGGUAUAGGCACCAGGCACGUGUGGUAUAUGGUGUAUAUCCUCUGGUGUACAGAGAAUGAAGAAAGGGGCUUUCUAUAAACUGGCCUUCUCCGUGCACCAAACCAGCUCCUUCCCUUUUAUUAUGAAUCAUGUUCCCAGAGGACACACCUGGACUUUAGAAUCCACCUGGCUUCUGAAAAUUUAAGCCCUGUUUAUUUCCACAUCAUUCUUGGACAUUUCACAGACUGUAAGUGUUAUCACUGGGGCUGGAGAGAUGGCUCAGUGUUUAAGAGGACCAACUGCUCUUCCAAAGGUCCUGAGUUCAAAUCCCAGCAACCACAUGGUGGCUCACAACCAUCUGUAACAAGAUCUGAUGCCCUCUUCUGGAGUGUCUGAAGACAGCUACAGUGUACUCACACA
rnacentral:lncRNA from 1 species